UUAUUGGGAUUCGGUGGAGGUAGUCGGAGCUCGUUUGCAUCUGAAAUUGGGGCAUCAUCUGAUCAUGUGAGCAAGUUUUUACACACGGGGAGCAACAGUAUGGCGAGCUUAUCAAGUUAUCCCAUUAGUGUUUCCUCCUUGUCCUACCCUGAUGAUGAGUUGAGAGUAGAGUUAGAAAUGAUUGAACAGAAAUAUGAAGAGGCAAUUAGAGAUUUAUCCAAAAGAAGAAACCUGGCCAUCGAGGAGAUUAAAAAAAGAAUGUCAGAUAAGAUGGUAUCAUAGAAUGAUUUCAGUAGUAUUUUUUCUUUCUGUUUUAUGAGUACAAAAUUUACUUCUUUCUUUAUGUUGGGAGGCGUAAAAGAAUUUACUAGUCUUUUUA
rnacentral:lncRNA from 1 species